AGUGAACGCUGGCGGCAGGCCUAAUACAUGCAAGUCGAACGGCAGCACAGCAGAGCUUGCUCUGUGGGUGGCGAGUGGCGGACGGGUGAGGAAUACAUGGGAAUCUGCCCAGUCGUGGGGGAUAACGUAUGGAAACGUACGCUAAUACCGCAUGCGCCCUACGGGGGAAAGGUCGGGGACCGCAAGGCCUGGCGCGAUUGGAUGAGCCCAUGUUCGAUUAGCUAGUUGGCGGGGUAAAGGCCCACCAAGGCGACGAUCGAUAGCUGGUCUGAGAGGAUGAUCAGCCACACUGGAACUGAGACACGGUCCAGACUCCUACGGGAGGCAGCAGUAGGGAAUAUUGGACAAUGGGGGCGAACCCUGAUCCAGCCAUGCCGCGUGAGUGAAGAAGGCCCUCGGGUUGUAAGCUCUUUUGUCCGGAAGAAAGCAUCGGUUAAUACCCGGUUGUUCUGACGGUACCGGAAGAAUAAGCACCGGCUAACUUCGUGCCAGC
rnacentral:rRNA from 1 species